CAUAUAUAUUUUGAUACUGCCAAUUUAGCGUUAGAGUUCUUAGAAAAGUGUGACGUAAUCAAGCUAAGCCGAAAAUUCCAUGAAUUCGGAUAAUUUUUACACUUGACAGGAGAAAUCUUUAAACGGCAAUAACUUUUCACUCAAAUGUCCGAUUUUAACAUCAAAUCAAAAUUCGGAAAAUACUUUUCGAGAUCUACAUAUCGAACAACAAAGCCGUUUCAACUGCAUGUGGGAACUAAAUUUAAUUGUUUUGGCCUCCGUUUUUACAUAUUUAGGUUAUCUUUGAAAAGUUUUGUAUCUUUUCUAUUUUGAGUCUGGUUAUUUGAUUAUUUCUAAUCAGAUUAAGUUUAGAGAUAUACUAGGAUUUAUUAUCUUCAUUUAUUGUAGGAUUCGGGUAUCGUCUCUAUAUAAUUGUGGCUUUCGGUUAAUGUAAUCAAUUUUUAGAGUUGAUUAAUAAUAGUUUUGUCUAUAUCAAAUAGUAGUUCAUUCCUCUCUUUUCUUUCUUAUGUUUCUUAAUUACCUCUCAACGCGGUUUAGGCUUGCGUCAAACUCCUAAUAGAUACACUAUAACAAAUCUUUCACUUAAGGACAAUUUAAACAAUAAGUAAAGAGGCUUUAAAGCGUCGGUAAGAAUAACCCCGACGUUUGUAAAAGCGUUAAAUAAAGAGUCGCUAAGUAAAUAUAUAGAGAUAAAUAUACCAAUGCUUUCAUAAAGCGUCAGAGAAUUUUUAUCAGUAUUUAAUAAAAAUAUAUUUAUUGAUGACGUUUAAUAAUAAUGAAAGCACAUAUCAAAUAUUGAAGAUGUUGAAUAGAAUGUCGUCUAAAAUUUUCAUGGUACAGUUAUAUGCAUGCAUCAAUUUCACGUAUAGAUCACCUCUAUAUAUAUAUAUAUAUAUAUAUACACACACACACACACAUAAAA
rnacentral:lncRNA from 1 species